CACGUGGGAAUCUGCCCAUUAGUGGGGGAUAACUCGGGGAAACUCGAGCUAAUACCGCAUAAUCCCUACGGGGGAAAGCAGGGGAUCUUCGGACCUUGCGCUGAUGGAUGAGCCCGCGUCGGAUUAGCUUGUUGGUGGGGUAAUGGCCCACCAAGGCGACGAUCCGUAACUGGUCUGAGAGGAUGGCCAGUCACACCGGGACUGAGACACGGCCCGGACUCCUACGGGAGGCAGCAGUGGGGAAUCUUGGACAAUGGGCGCAAGCCUGAUCCAGCCAUGCCGCGUGUGUGAAGAAGGCCUUCGGGUUGUAAAGCACUUUCAGUAGGGAGGAAGGCUUUGGGCUAAUACCCUGGAGUACUUGACGUUACCUACA
rnacentral:rRNA from 1 species